UUGAAAAUAGCCCCAAAAUAAAGCAUUUUCUGGAUCCUGAAGGGAUUGAAUUGGAAAUUUGGAAUUGGAUUAACUUUCAAAUACUCAGUAUGUAGUAAAGAAACAUAAAAACGGUGCUUUGGAUUUAUAAUAACCUUAGAGAUUUUACACUUUGUUGCUUCUCAGCUGUGUGCUUGAUUAAGCAAUAGGAGUUGCCACCUACUGGGGCUGUGUGAAGUCUUGAGACACUGUGCUUAUGCAAUAUACUAAUCCUCGGGUAAAAAUUGUUGCUUAAAAAGUGAAGUGUAAUGUAAUGACUAGUUAUGUGCACCUCAGGUGGUACGGAUCUCCGAUUCUGCUUAGUGGAAACGUCAUGUCUGUGGUGAAGUCCCUGCUGUGAGAAACAGGUCUGAAACACCAGCAAAAUGCAAGUAGAUACUGAAGGUUCGUGAUGUGGCAGAAGGCACAAGUGCCACACUGAGUCAUCCACUGCCGUCUGUCAGUGUUUCCAGUCAGUUGGUCAUCCGCAUAAACAAACUUGAGAAAUGGAAAAGUGGAAGGUCUUGCAGAUGUUUGCAGCGAUAAAACAGGAUACAUUAUCAUAGCAAAGCAAUAACCACAAAGGGUUGAAAAUAGCCAG